UUUUUAAAAUGCAGAAGAAAAUGUAGGCAAUAACAUCCAGGGCAUAGGCAUAAGCAAGGACUUCAUGACAAAAACACCAAAAGCAUUGGCAGCAAAAACCAAA